CCGGGUUGUUUGGCCACGUUCGCUGCUAUGAAUGAAGCUAAAGAAACGCUGUCUUUGGACUGCUAGUCAUAGUCAUCUUCAUCAUUCCUGCUCUCUCUCUCUCUCUCUCUCUCUCUCCUCUCUCUCUCUUUCUCAGCUCCCUUAUGAAAUAAGGGCACACAGGUAAUAAACAAAGCACUAUAAAAGAUCCGAUCGAGGGCUUCUGUGGGCUCAUUCAAUGUCGGAAGCAAGCAUUCUGCACAGGGCGCCGUGCCUGCGGCUCCCGAGGCUGGCUCCAGACCCCGGAGUGGCGGCGGGAGUGGGCUAGACCCCCCCUGUCCCUUUUGGCAGCCUCUCGGCAUGUAUCAGGGCCACGUCCUUGGUCCGCUGCCCCAUGCCCGAUGGCCCGGGGACCGAGGCAAAAGUGGCAGGGGAGAGAGAGAGAGAGAGAGACCCUCGGAUCUGAUCACUCGGAUUUUGGACAGUGACUCGACCUCCUUGGUCAGCCCUCAGGCCCGAUCAGAUUAUGCCUCAGAUCACUUGGAAGUAUAACAACAGUAGAACAGAA